rnacentral:miRNA from 1 species
ACACAUUUGAGCCAAUCAGCAGCAGACCCUCCCUCCCAGACCCUCCCACCUCCUGGACAGCUCACUAAGAAUGCAGCUUCACAAUGAAUGUAAAAUGGAUGCUGGCCAGGAGGUGGGAGGGUCUGGGAGGGAGGGUCUGCUGCUGAUUGGCUGGAAUGU